rnacentral:rRNA from 1 species
GAUGAACGUUGGCGGUGUGCCUAAUACAUGCAAGUCGAACGGUGACGAUUUUGUAGUAAUACGAAUGAAAUCACAGUGGCGAACGGGUGAGUAACGCGUUGGUGAUCUGCCUCGAAGUGUGGAAUAACGCUCCGAAAGGAGCGCUAAUACCGCAUGUGCUCUCGAUGUUUAGAAAGUUGAGAGUAAAGGAUUUAUUCGCUUCGAGAGGAGCCUGCGUCCCAUCAGCUGGUUGGUAGGGUAACGGCCUACCAAGGCAAUGACGGGUAGGGGACCUGAGAGGGUGGCCCCCCACAAUGGAACUGAAACACGGCCCAGACUCCUACGGGGGGCAGCAGUGGGGGAUCUUGCACAAUGGGCGAAAGCCUGAUGCAGCGACGCCGCGUGAGCGAAGAAGGCCUUCGGGUUGUAAAGCUCUGUCUGGAGGGACGAACAAAAUAGACGGUACCUCCGGAGGAAGCCACGGCUAACUACGUG